AGCUGAUAUAGGUAGAUAGUACCACUACGACGACUUGAGAAAGCCAGGGCCCAUAGACAAUAAGGCGUGAAGGAUUCCCUAGAGUUACCCUUUCCUUGCUGGAGGACCUCUACCAUCGAAAGAAAAGUAAUGGGUGAUGUUAGUGCAAUAAGUGUUUGAGGAACAGAUAUUCAUGGAUGCGACUUUAAUUGUUUGUGGAGGUUGAGGCAUGGCUGAAUUGUGUCAUGGCAUCUGGUUGAAAAGGUGGAACUGUACUACAGUCAGUUUUUGGCAGCUGUUACCGCUUCAGUGAAAAUUAUGAGGAAGAAAUCAAUGACUCCACAGAGGAAGGGAGAUGGAAGUGUGUG